rnacentral:sRNA from 1 species
UAUAUGAUUAUAUGUCAUGUUACAUAUUUCUUUUUAUUCGAUCGAGUAGAGUUCUAGAGAACAUAAUUCUCAUAUAAUUAAUCCUUCAUAGAUUAUAUCUUUCAAGAAUUUCAUAUAAAUGUCAUAUCCAGUGUUCCGUGUCUUAUUGUCAGACUUUAGAUACUUAAAAAUAUUACAUCCACCACAAGAGAAUAUAUCUCUUCAUAAUACAUUUCUUAUCUUUGUGAAAAUCUCAUUAAUUUCACUAUUCUUUCACAUAAAGACUCAUUUAUCUUCCACUGGUUUUACACAUCAUGUGCAUAGACUACUAGUCCAAAUAUCUCUACUAGAGAUUAUAAUUAUAUGUCUAUUUCUUCUUUUUCAUUUUUGGUUAAUCAUUACUUUGUGUACACUUUUCAAUAGACUUUCUUUCAUGAUCCUCCUUUUUUGUCCAUAAUAUCAACUGCUCAUAUCAUGCAAAUAUAUUACGACGUCGAUUUGCUUUUGAUUCCAUUAUAUUUUGACAUGACAUAGCUAGGUAGAUCUCUUCAUUGUCAAGUACUUGAAUGUUUCAUUUGUCAUGUUUAUGUCUCUUUUAGAGAUCAUUCACUCUCUUCAAGAGAUCAUCAAAAUAUUUAUUUCCUCAAUUUGGUCAUUUUUAAUUUUGUGCUCCUUCACUUUUACGAGGAUAUUUAUAUUUGGAACCAAAGUCUAUUACGCUUCAUGCGAUCUUAAGACUCAAUAGCAGUUUGAAAUUGGUCCUUACAAGACAUUCAUUAUAUUCUGGAGCAUUUAAUCUACAACUGGUAUAGGUGACUUCAUCACUUUAUUUGGGUCAGCAAAUGCGUCUGGCAAUUACAACGCUAAAUUCUGUAAUUGAAUUAUCUUUUGGACUCUUAAUAUACAUUCUUUACUCCGAGAAUCAUUGAUAAUUCAUUUCUUUUUAUCUUUUUUUU